rnacentral:rRNA from 1 species
AUUGAACGCUGGCGGCAGGCCUAACACAUGCAAGUCGAGCGGAUGAAGGGAGCUUGCUCCUGGAUUCAGCGGCGGACGGGUGAGUAAUGCCUAGGAAUCUGCCUGGUCGUGGGGGAUAACGUCCGGUAACGGGCGCUAAUACCGCAUACGUCCUGAGGGAGAAAGUGGGGGAUCUUCGGACCUCACGCUAUCAGAUGAGCCUAGGUCGGAUUAGCUAGUUGGUGGGGUAAAGGCCUACCAAGGCGACGAUCCGUAACUGGUCUGAGAGGAUGAUCAGUCACACUGGAACUGAGACACGGUCCAGACUCCUACGGGAGGCAGCAGUGGGGAAUAUUGGACAAUGGGCGAAAGCCUGAUCCAGCCAUGCCGCGUGUGUGAAGAAGGUCUUCGGAUUGUAAAGCACUUUAAGUUGGGAGGAAGGACAGUAAGUUAAUACCUUGCUGUUUUGACGUUACCAACAGAAUAAGCACCGGCUAACUUCGUG